GUGAUAACCAAGCUAUUGUUACACCUAAAUAUGGUGCUGCUCCCUAUGCGGUCAUAGAUCCUAUUGCUAAAGCAAGAAAGCAUAAGAAGAAGUUACCAAGAGAUGUUACUCCAGUGACUCUUCCACAGGCAGGAGUAGAAAUUUCAGUGUCACAAUCUGCUCCUACGAAUGAGGAUCAUGACAUCAAUGGAGAAACUGGUAAAAAUGGUGAUGGAUCACUUGCACCAAACCCAGCUGUACCUAGUCCAACUGCCCCAGGCCCAACCACAACUGCAACCAACCAUGUCUUGCUAAAUAUGAUGAAUGGUCCACAGAUUCCUGCACCCUUCCGGAAGAAACAGCCAAUUCAUAAGCCAUUGAAAUCUCAGGUUCAUGGGCCGUUACUUCCACCCACUGUGCCCACAAACCAAGUCCCACUAACCCAACCAAGGAUGGCUACAAGAUCAACUACAUCCAUUGGCAUUUCUCUCGAGACACAAGCAGCAACUAGUGCUGGUACGGCAGCUAGGUUGUUCCAAUUCAUCCCAACACCAGGACUCAAACAAGGAAUCAAGGCACCAAGCUUCGGAGCACCACUAAGCUUUAAGCAAUUUGGCUCCACUGC